rnacentral:snRNA from 1 species
AUAUUUCCUCUGAGACAAGUAGA